rnacentral:rRNA from 1 species
AACCCAAAGGACUUGACGGUGACCCACCCAUCUAGAGGAGCCUGUUCUAUAAUCGAUAAUCCACGCUAUACCUUACCAUUUCUUGCUUCUCAGCUUGUAUACCUCCGUCGUAAACUCACCGUUUGAACGAAUAGUAGUGUGUCUGAUGACCACCCGCCAAUACGUCAGGUCAAGGUGCAGCUCAUGAAAUGGAAAGCAAUGGGCUACAAUUUCUAACAUAGAACAAACGAAAAGCUGUAUGAAACACAGCUAUGAAGGCGGAUUUAGUAGUAAAUGGGGAAUAGAGAGCCCCUUUUAAUCUGGCCCUGGGACAUGUACAAACCGCCCGUCACCCUCUUCAAUAG